rnacentral:rRNA from 1 species
UACGUAGGGCGCAAGCGUUAAUCGGAAUUACUGGGCGUAAAGCGUGCGCAGGCGGUUUUGUAAGUCUGAUGUGAAAUCCCCGGGCUCAACCUGGGAAUUGCAUUGGAGACUGCAAGGCUAGAAUCUGGCAGAGGGGGGUAGAAUUCCACGUGUAGCAGUGAAAUGCGUAGAGAUGUGGAGGCACACCGAUGGCGAAGGCAGCCCCCCGGGCC